AUAUAUAUGUAUAUGUAUAUAUAUAUAUAUAUACACAUAUAUAAAUGAUAAUACAAACAUACCUUAUAUGUCGAUACGCAGCAAUGAAUGUUCUCCUUUCAAUUGAUAAUCUUUUACAAAAAUGGAUUAUCUUUCCAAAUAUUUCAGAGAUAGAUUGAAACACAUACGAACGUACACAUAUUUAGAGAUUUACGAAUUCUUAUUAGCCUGCAUAAAAUAUUUUUAUAGUCGAUACGAAAUUCUAACUUUACUUGCACUUUAUCCACAUUUACAAUUUUUUAAAGAAAUAUUUUAUCUCUAUCAAGUAUACAUUUGGUAUCUUACGUUAUUGGAGAAUAUUUCUGAUCCUGACAAACUAACGUAAUGUAAGUUAAUCGUACCAAAAUCUUUUGUCAUUGCCCCUUUUUUUUAUUAGCACAAGAACUUAGACUUUGUGAUAAAAAAAAAAAAAAAAAAAAAAAAAAAAGAAAUGAACAUAGAGAUCCAUUAUAAAUUUACUGCAAUGUUGUAAAGGGUAAUGAAACUCACGCAAAAUUCACAUAAUUAUAUAAUGAAAAUGUCAUUUAUUUGAUGUGGUGCAAUGACUUAAAGUAAAUGGAAAAAUGAAUGUCUGUAUGAGCUGGGUUUGAUGAACAGCACUCGUGCACUAAAAACGAUUACCACUGUUGGACCAUUCUUAUAAAAGUCUUUGAAUUUAAAUGCAACAUACAAUGGAAGUGUACCAAACAGCGAUGCAGUGGUAGCUAAUGUGACACGAAUGUGCUGAAUUCCAUGAUGAGGUAACACUUGUCUUACUUGUACUUAGUUUAUCAAAUUAUGCAGUCAUACGCUCAUAGAAUCUUAUUGCGAAUUGGUUCAAAGAAUCGAAUAUCUAUUGUUAUUUUUUUUUUCUUUCUUUAAAUUGUCAUACAGAUUAAUAGUAGUUUUUCAAGAGGAAAAAAAAAGGAAAAAAAAAAAAAGAGGAAAAAACAAAGAAAAAAGAAGAAGUAAAGAAAUAUUCAACGUCACAAGUUCCACGAGUAAUCGCCGCACAGUCCCAAAGAUAGUUUUCGCAAAAUGGACGUGGAUUUUCUAAAAAGUGUGAGCGAGAACGGCCAAAAUCUGUUCCUCAAAAUCUCUUAUCAUAUUUCGUUCUUCUAUUGCUUUCUUUGUUUAAGCCUUAUCAAUCUAUGGCUUUCAAAAGGACGAUCGUGUAAAAAACUGUGGAAAAGUCUUAACUAUAUUUCCGUAAGAUUUCUCUGAACUUGAUGCGAUUGUAAUCAUUAUCGCCGUAAUGAAUACAACAAAUAUGCAUCAAGAUAAAAAAAUCUUUGACGCGUCUAAAUCGUACUAAUUCUCGACGUAAUUUUUUCUCUUUCUGUUUCUCUCUUUUUUUCUUUUUUUUCUUUUUAAAUUAUUAUAUUUCAUUUAUUAAAGCGUCCCCACACUGGUUUCUUUUUUAUUAUUUUUUUGUCGUCUCUCUCUUUCCUCUAUCUCUCUCUCUCUCUCUCUCUUUUUUGUCUUUUUUCCCUUUUUCACUUUUUUCAUUUUUUUCUUUUUUUUUUUUUUUUUUUUUUUUAAGGAACAUGAGUUUAGCACAGUCUGUAAAAUAUAAUAAAUUAUGCUGGUUUUAUCAUACAGUAAAAGUAUGCUUAUACAUGUCGGUUUCAGUCCUUAUAAAAUACAGUAGAUAUGUACAGUAAAAAGCUUAAAAUCGAAGGAUAUCUUUCGAAUAUGCUAGAUUUGGGACUGCCCGGAUAUAAUGAUCGUUUACUUAACAAAUGUAUUUCACUGGCUGCCAAGAUCAUCAGAGAGUCUAGAGAGAAGGGGAGCAAUGAUACACGGUUGCAGUAAUUACAGUGGUCUUAUCACAGAACAUGUAUGGCAUUAAUCAUCCUCAUUGUUAAUGUUAAUGGUAAGUAUUCGUAUUUAAAACGAUUGGUAAAACUAGAUCGGAGGAUCAGGAAGCCAGUACAGUACUAAAUGAUGAUUAUUGUUUGCCGCUGGUUGCCCAUAAUUCGAUUUUUUUUCUAAGCAUUUUAACAAUAGGACAUAAGCGUUAUCAAACGUAAAACGAAAGGUGUCUACACGCUUUAUUUCGAUUCGCAAGAUAAAAAAAGAAAGAGAGAAAAAAAUAAUAAUAAAAGAAAUACAUUCGUAAAUCGAACACACAUAGUUUUUUUUUUUUGAUAUUAUUGAGAAAGUCAAUGAAAUGGAAUUUUUAUUUCUUUCUCGUUUAAAAAUUUCAAAAAUAAAAUUAUAAUGAUCAGGUACGCGUGACGAAUCUACUUAUGUCCUUUUGUUAUUAAAAAGAAAAAAAAAGAAAAAAAGAUAAAGAAAGAAAAGAAACCGAGAAAGAAAAAUUUUAACCACGUGAUUUUGCAAUUUGAUGAUAGUAUAGUAGUAGUAGUAGUAGUAGUGUAGUAGAGCAGUAGUAGCAGUAGUAGUGGUAGUAGUAGUGGUAGUAGUAGUAAUGUAGUAGUAGAAUAGUAGAGUAUAGUAGUAGUAGUAGUAGUAGUAGUAAUAGUGGUAGUAGUAGUAGUAGUAGUAGUAAUAGCGGUAGUAGUAGUAGUAAUAGUAAUAAUAAUAAUAAUAAUAAUAAUAAUAAUAAUAAUAAUAAUAAAAAUAAUUUGUUACACAAAAAACAAUGAAUAUUUCAUUACUAUAAUUGACUAACGUUUAUUUAUACAAUUUUCAAUUUUCUUUUUUGCUUUACCACCUCAUUCAUAAUACCUAAUAAAGUUUUUAUCAUCUCUCUUUGAUACUUUAUCGUAACAUUUUUAAUUAAUACACGUAUUCUUGGGCACAUGAACGAUAUAGACAUUUUUUUUUUUUUUAUAAUAAUCAACACAGGACUUGAUAAAUUAUGGACAACCUUAAAUUUAAUACAAUAAUAAUAAUAAUAAUAAUAUAAUAAUAUAUAAUAAUAAUAAUAAUAAUAAUAAUAAUAAUUCAAUCUAUCACUUUAGCUACUAUGCAAUACUUGAGAAAACAAAACAAACUGUGCCUUAAUCCUUUGGAAAGAAAUGGACUUGAGUUAAAGAGGAAACGGAAAAAACAGAAUUAGACGAGACAUAGGAGAAGAAGAAGAAGAAGAAGAAGAAGAAGGGAAAAUGGUUGAUUGGAUGCAAGGACUAAAAAAUAUAAAGAACGAUCAAUUUAGCUGAGAAAAAAAAUGUACAAAAAUAUAAGCAGGGAUAGGAGAGGGCACAGAUUGCGUAGCAUUAAUAGUAAUCAUAGUAGUAAUUGUAAUCGUAUGUGUUAAAGAGAAAGAGAUCAUAAAAAACGCUAACUAGAAUCAUUUCUCCAUAAUGGAAGAGAAUUUGACGCCUUUCUUUCUUUUUUUUUUCCUUUCGUAUAACUAAUGAUAAUUAAAAAAAAAAAAAAGAAAUUAAAAGAAAAAAA